CCCGCGCCCCGUAAAACGGGACGGCCCGCCAGAGGACCCAAACUCUAAUGUUUCUUAUUGUAACUUCUGAGUAAAACAAACAAAUAAAUCAAAACUUUCAACAACGGAUCUCUUGGUUCUGGCAUCGAUGAAGAACGCAGCAAAAUGCGAUAAGUAAUGUGAAUUGCAGAAUUCAGUGAAUCAUCGAAUCUUUGAACGCACAUUGCGCCCGCUGGUAUUCCGGCGGGCAUGCCUGUUCGAGCGUCAUUUCAACCCUCAAGCCCCCGGGUUUGGUGUUGGGGAUCGGCUCUGCCCUUCUGGGCGGUGCCGCCCCCGAAAUACAUUGGCGGUCUCGCUGCAGCCUCCAUUGCGUAGUAUCUAACACCUCGCAACUGGAACGCGGCGCGGCCAUGCCGUAAAACCCCAACUUCUGAAUGUUGACCUCGGAUCAGGUAGGAAAUACCCGCUGAACUU
rnacentral:rRNA from 1 species